UGGGGAAUAUUGCACAAUGGGCGCAAGCCUGAUGCAGCCAUGCCGCGUGUAUGAAGAAGGCCUUCGGGUUGUAAAGUACUUUCAGUCGGGAGGAAGGUGGUAAGGUUAAUAACCUUUGCUCAUUGACGUUACCCGCAGAAGAAGCACCGGCUAACUCCGUGCCAGCAGCCGCGGUAAUACGGAGGGUGCAAGCGUUAAUCGGAAUUACUGGGCGUAAAGCGCACGCAGGCGGUUUGUUAAGUCAGAUGUGAAAUCCUCGGGCUCAACCUGGGAACUGCAUCUGAUACUGGCAAGCUUGAGUCUCGUAGAGGGGGGUAGAAUUCCAGGUGUAGCGGUGAAAUGCGUAGAGAUCUGGAGGAAUACCGGUGGCGAAGGCGGCCCCCUGGACGAAGACUGACGCUCAGGUGCGAAAGCGUGGGGAGCAAACAGG
rnacentral:rRNA from 1 species